UACGUAGGGUGCAAGCGUUGUCCGGAAUUAUUGGGCGUAAAGAGCUCGUAGGCGGUCUGUUGCGUCGGCUGUGAAAACCCGGGGCUCAACUCCGGGCCUGCAGCCGAUACGGGCAGACUAGAGUUCGGCAGGGGAGACUGGAAUUCCUGGUGUAGCGGUGGAAUGCGCAGAUAUCAGGAGGAACACCAAUGGCGAAGGCAGAUCUCUGGGCCGUAACUGACGCUGAGGAGCGAAAGCGUGGGGAGCGAACAGG
rnacentral:rRNA from 1 species